UUCAACAGCGAUGAAAGUUCAAAGCUCAACAGAAAACUUUAAGAAGAACAGUAAAACAGCUAGCCAUACACUGGAGACGAUAAAGUGCGGCCAGAGUAGUAGUUAAGCUGGGACAACGGAAGCUGCUGAAAGCCUCCUGGGAAGAACCGUUUGUUCCAAUGGAUUCACCGGCGGAGUUCGACGACAACAGGUCGAGUAAUUAUUUGGAUCAAGCACCAGGUUGCUAGAGCUGAACAUUCAGAAAACCGCUAGAAUCAACAACAUUAUGGAGGACCAACUGAAUUAAACAUAUAUUAGGACCAGCCGCAAGUUGAUAUUAAAAACCAUACAUC